UACGAAGGGGGCUAGCGUUGUCCGGAAUUACUGGGCGUAAAGGGCUCGUAGGUGGCCAACUAAGUCAGACGUGAAAUCCCUCAGCUUAACUGGGGAACUGCGUCUGAUACUGGAUGGCUUGAGUUUGGGAGAGGGAUGCGGAAUUCCAGGUGUAGCGGUGAAAUGCGUAGAUAUCUGGAGGAACACCGGUGGCGAAGGCGGCAUCCUGGACCAACACUGACACUGAGGAGCGAAAGCGUGGGGAGCGAACAGG
rnacentral:rRNA from 1 species